ACUCCGCUUGUGCUCUGGGAAGGAGAAGGGCGUGUUUCCGCUUGCUCCUCCGCCAUGGCUCGUGGUCCCAAGAAACACCUGAAGCGUGUGGCGGCCCCACGCCACUGGAUGCUGGACAAACUGACCGGUGUGUUCGCGCCCCGUCCGUCUGCCGGCCCGCACCGCCUGCGGGAGUGCCUGCCGCUCGCCAUCUUCCUGAGGAACAGGCUCAAGUACGCCCUGACCGGCGACGAGGUGAAGAAGAUCUGCAUGCAGCGGCUCAUUAAGGUCGACGGCAAGGUCAGAACCGAUGUGGCCUACCCAGCUGGCUUCAUGGAUGUCAUCAGCAUCGACAAGAGCGGCGAGAACUUCCGCCUCGUCUACGACACCAAGGGCCGCUUCGCGGUACACCGCAUCACGCCCGAGGAGGCCAAGUACAAGCUGUGCAAGGUGAGGAAAGUCUUCGUGGGUACCAAGGGCAUCCCGCACCUCGUCACGCACGACGCGCGUACCAUCCGCUACCCUGACCCGCUCAUCAAGGUCAACGACACCGUGCAGAUCUCGCUAGACAGCGGAAAAAUCACCGAUGCCAUCAAGUUUGAUACCGGCAACCUGUGCAUGGUAACCGGAGGCGCCAACCUGGGUCGCAUCGGCGUCAUCACCAACCGCGAGCGCCACCCCGGCUCCUUUGACGUGGUCCACGUGAAAGAUGCCAACGGCAAUGGCUUCGCUACCCGCCUCUCCAACAUCUUCGUGAUCGGGAAGGGCAACAAGCCGUGGAUCUCCCUUCCCCGGGGAAAAGGAAUCCGCCUCACCAUUGCCGAAGAGAGAGACAAGAGGCUGGCGGCCAAGCAGAGCGGGUGAAGUGGACUCUGAGGGACAUUGCGGGGAAGGGGCGUUUACGUUUGUUUAUACUUAAAAGUUUUUUAAGCAGCAUGUUGAAUUAAAAAAGAAAGCAAGCU